rnacentral:rRNA from 1 species
AGAGUUUGAUCAUGGCUCAGGAUGAACGCUGGCGGCGUGCCUAACACAUGCAAGUCGAGCGAACCCUUCGGGGUGAGCGGCGGACGGGUGAGUAACGCGUGGGUAACCUGCCCUGUACACACGGAUAACAUACCGAAAGGUAUGCUAAUACGAGAUAAUAUGUAAUGAUCGCAUGGUCGAUACAUCAAAGCUCCGGCGGUACAGGAUGGACCCGCGUCUGAUUAGCUAGUUGGUGAGGUAAUGGCUCACCAAGGCGACGAUCAGUAGCCGACCUGAGAGGGUGAUCGGCCACAUUGGAACUGAGACACGGUCCAAACUCCUACGGGAGGCAGCAGUGGGGAAUAUUGCACAAUGGGCGAAAGCCUGAUGCAGCAACGCCGCGUGAGCGAUGAAGGCCUUCGGGUCGUAAAGCUCUGUCCUCAAGGAAGAUAAUGACGGUACUUGAGGAGGAAGCCCCGGCUAACUACGUGCCAGCAGCCGCGGUAAUACGUAGGGGGCUAGCGUUAUCCGGAUUUACUGGGCGUAAAGGGUGCGUAGGCGGUCUUUCAAGUCAGGAGUGAAAGGCUACGGCUCAACCGUAGUAAGCUCUUGAAACUGUAAGACUUGAGUGCAGGAGAGGAGAGUGGAAUUCCUAGUGUAGCGGUGAAAUGCGUAGAUAUUAGGAGGAACACCAGUUGCGAAGGCGGCUCUCUGGACUGUAACUGACGCUGAGGCACGAAAGCGUGGGGAGCAAACAGGAUUAGAUACCCUGGUAGUCC